rnacentral:misc_RNA from 1 species
GAUGAAGAACGUAGCGAAAUGUGAUACGUAGUGUGAAUUGCAGAAUUCCGUGAACCAUCAAAUCUUUGAACGCAUAUUGCGCUCGAGGCUUCGGCCGAGAGCAUGUCUGCCUCAGCGUCGGUAUUACCCCUCGCUUCUCAACCCCUGGUUGAUGCCUGCCUGCCUUUGCAGUUGGCUAGAAGCGGAUCUGGCUUUCCCAAUUGCCUUUGGUAGUUGGGUCAGCUGAAGCACAGAGGCUUGAGCAAGGACCCUUAUUGGGCUUCAACUGGAUAGGUAGAACUGGUCUUAGGACCAACUACACGAAGUUGUUGCUUGUGGUCUUUGUCUGGAGGCCAGCAGGAAACCUUUAUACCUUCGACCUGAGCUCAGGCAAGAUUACCCGCUGAACUUAAGCAUAUCAAUAAGCGGAGGA